CGGCGUUGGCUGCUCUGGUGACGGGAGGAGCUAGAGGAGGAUUUAGUCUGUGUCCAAACAAGAAGCCAUUGGCGAACUAGAGCUAGCUUCAAGGUCAGAGGACAGGCAGUCUUGUGACCUAGGGUUAGGAGCCACACCGGUCAUAGCGGCGGCUGAAAAACGAAUCAAACCGUCUUUAAAAUGUUUUCACGGUAAACAACCAGCUGUCGAACAGAGGCAGCCUUCAAACUGCAGGAUGACAACAGCAGACUUUUUUCUGUUUUUCUAGUGGUGAGAACAUGGAUGUCAGACGUGUAAGCUGCUUCGUUUCCACGGUGAUAAACCUUCCACUCCAAAGGUGAUGAAAGGCCUCUGACACCCAACGCAUAUGCACAUGUACAAGCGCACACGCACACAUGCACACUUUCACGCGCACCCACACAUGCACACGCACACAUCUACACACACACAUCUACACGCACACAUCUACACGCACAGAACCACACGCAUACAUAUGCCUGUUGUGUGGCUCUCUGAAACAGCUCUGUAACAUCGUCCGAUGUUAGAGAGUUCAGUCAAUAACAAUGUUUUUUGACUCAACUCUCAAGAGACAAUAACAAUGUUUACACUAGACAAGUUCAUCAACUCUGACUGCGAACACAAACGACACCAGAACACUAGUGAGACAGAGUGAACAAUACCGACACCAGAAGAUUAGUGAGACAGAGUGAAAACUAGUGAGGCAGACUGAACACUAGUGAGACAGAGUGAACACUAGUGAGGCAGAGUGAAUACUAGUGAGACAGAGUGAACAAUGGUGAGACAGAGUGACACUAGCGAGGCAGAGUGAGGCAGAGUGAACACUAGUGAGACAGAGUGAACCCUAGUGAGGCAGAGUGAACACUAUUGAGACAACGGUAAAAAUAGUGAGGCAGAGCGAACACUAGUGGGACAGAGGGAACACUAGUAAAACAGAGUGAACACUAUUGAGGCAGAGUGAACACUAUUGAGACAGAUUAAACAUUAGUGAGAAAGAGUGAGGUAGAGUGCACACUAGUGAGACAGAGUGAACACUAGUAAGCCAGAGUGAGGCAGAGUGAACUCUAGUGAGACAGAGUGAACACUAUUGAGGCAGAGUGAACACUAGUGAGACAGAGUGAACAAUGGUGAGACAGAGUGACACUAGCGAGGCAGAGUGAGGCAGAGUGAACACUAGUGAGACAGAGUGAACCCUAGUGAGGCAGAGUGAACACUAUUGAGACAACGGUAAAAAUAGUGAGGCAGAGCGAACACUAGUGGGACAGAGGGAACACUAGUAAAACAGAGUGAACACUAUUGAGGCAGAGUGAACACUAUUGAGACAGAUUAAACAUUAGUGAGAAAGAG
ensembl:lncRNA